CCUACGGGUGGCAGCAGUAGGGAAUAUUGCUCAAUGCUGGAAACACUGAAGCAGCAACGCCGCGUGGAUGAUGAAGGUUUUCGGAUCGUAAACUCCUUUUGUUAGAGAAGAUAAUGCCGAUAUCUAACGAAUAAGCACCUGCUAACACCGUGCCAGCAGCCGCGGUAAUACGGAGGGUGCAAGCGUUCCUCGGAAUGACUGGGCGUAAAGAGCGCGUAGGCGGGUUAGCAAGUCAGAUGUGAAAUACUAUGGCUUAACCAUAGGACUGCAAUUGAAACUAUUAUUCUAGAGUAUGGGAGAGGAAUGUAGAAUUCUUGGUGUAGGGGUGAAAUCCGUAGAGAUCAAGAGGAAUACUCAUUGCGAAGGCGACCAGCUAGAACAUAACUGACGCUGAUGCGCGAAAGCGUGGGGAGCAAACAGGAUUAGAUACCCCUGUAGUC
rnacentral:rRNA from 1 species